AAGUCGUAACAAGGUUUCCGUAGGUGAACCUGCGGAAGGAUCAUUAUUGAACUAAGUCGGAUUCGAUGCUGGCCCUUAACCCGGGCAUGUGCUCGUCCUUCAUUUUUCUAACCUUCUUUAUGUGCACAUUUGUAUGCCCCUGAGUAACGAGCACCUCUCGCAGCAAUGCGGUUUGCUUGGGACUGACGGCCUGGUCGUCGUCUUUCCUGCAAUGCUCUCUGGGGGCUACGUUUUUAUAUACAAGUCAGUUAUAGAAUGUCUUUUAAUGACUGUUGCCUAGCGCAUGGUCUUAAACAAUUACAACUUUCAGCAACGGAUCUCUUGGCUCUCCCAUCGAUGAAGAACGCAGCGAAAUGCGAUAAGUAAUGUGAAUUGCAGAAUUCAGUGAAUCAUCGAAUCUUUGAACGCACCUUGCGCCCUUUGGUAUUCCGAAGGGCAUGCCUGUUUGAGUGUCAUUAAAUUAUCAACCUUGCUCGCUUUUACCGGCUUGAGCUGAGGCUUGGACGUGGGGGUUUUUGCUGGCUUCCUUCAGUGGAUGGUCUGCUCCCCUUAAAUUCAUUAGCGGGAUCUCUUGUGGACCGUCACUUGGUGUGAUAAUUAUCUAUGCCGUUUGACCUUGAAGCAAAUUUAUGGGACCCUGCUUAUAACCGUCUCUUACCGGGACAAUUUAAUAACAUCUUGACCUCAAAUCAGGUAGGACUACCCGCUGAACUUAAGCAUAUCAAUAGGCGGAGGAAAAGAAACUAACAAGGAUUCCCCUAGUAACUGCGAGUGAAGCGGGAAAAGCUCAAAUUUAAAAUCUGGCGGUCCUUGUGGCCGUCCGAGUUGUAAUUUAGAGA
rnacentral:misc_RNA from 1 species